rnacentral:rRNA from 1 species
GUCAGGAUGAACGCUAGCUACAGGCUUAACACAUGCAAGUCGAGGGGCAGCAGGACGAUAGCUUGCUAUGUUGCUGGCGACCGGCGCACGGGUGAGUAACGCGUAUCCAACCUUCCCCUUAGUAGGGCAUAGCCCGGUGAAAAUCGGAUUAAUACCCUAUGUUAUUCGUCGAGGACAUCUGAAGUGAAUCAAAGAUUUAUCGCUAAGGGAUGGGGAUGCGUCUGAUUAGGUAGUCGGCGGGGUAACGGCCCACCGAGCCCUCGAUCAGUAGGGGUUCUGAGAGGAAGGUCCCCCACACUGGUACUGAGACACGGACCAGACUCCUACGGGAGGCAGCAGUGAGGAAUAUUGGUCAAUGGGCGAGAGCCUGAACCAGCCAAGUAAGCGUGCAGGAUGACGGCCCUAUGGGUUGUAAACUGCUUUUAUACGGGGAUAAAGUGAGGGACGUGUCCCUUAUUGUAGGUACCGUAUGAAUAAGGACCGGCUAAUUCCGUGCCAGCCGCGGC